rnacentral:rRNA from 1 species
CCUACGGGAGGCAGCAGUGAGGAAUAUUGGUCAAUGGGCGCUAGCCUGAACCAGCCAAGUAGCGUGAAGGAUGACUGCCCUAUGGGUUGUAAACUUCUUUUAUAUGGGAAUAAAGUGCAGUAUAUAUACUGCUUUGCAUGUACCUUAUGAAUAAGGAUCGGCUAACUCCGUGCCAGCAGCCGCGGUAAUACGGAGGAUCCGAGCGUUAUCCGGAUUUAUUGGGUUUAAAGGGAGCGUAGGCGGGUUGUUAAGUCAGUUGUGAAAGUUUGCGGCUCAACCGUAAAAUUGCAGUUGAUACUGGCAGCCUUGAGUACAGUAGAGGUAGGCGGAAUUCGUGGUGUAGCGGUGAAAUGCUUAGAUAUCACGAAGAACUCCGAUUGCGAAGGCAGCCUGCUGGACUGUAACUGACGCUGAUGCUCGAAAGUGUGGGUAUCAAACAGGAUUAGAUACCCCAGUAGUC